AACCACUGAGUGGAGUACUUAGUACACAGGAAGUCGGCCAGAGAAACAUUUCUCAUAUUUGAAGGCCGGAAAGAGGGACAUUUCUGACACCGGAAGUCAGUGAGAGGACUCUUUCCCACACAGGAAGUCAGCUAGAGAGCCGUCUCCCCUCUCUGGAGCCGAGAGAGGCCGGUUUCCCCCAUCGACAACAUCCAGAGGUGUCCAGAAAGAAGGUGACCUUGACAAGAAUUCCUCAGCCUUGGCUGCACAUGAGAACCAGUGAGGGAGCCCUAAAAACGCUGAUGCCCAGGCUCCACCCAGACCUAUAGGUGCAGAACCUCUAGGGGAGGGCCCAGCCAUCGCGCUUUGAAAAAUCUCCUCAGGUCUCACAUGAGUACUUCACAAUGGGGAAACUGAACUGGAACUCUACUGACAAUGCAGCUGGGAGUUCAAACUUAAUAACCUUCCAGAGUUGGUAUCAAAUUCAGACGCUGACGCUCCUUGGAGAGGUUCUUUGCUGCAAGAGGAUGGAAAGGAUCACUGUGAUUUUGUUUUUCUCCUGCUGCUCUGUCUGGAAGCCAUGUGAGGAGGACAUCUGAGCAGCCCUGUGGAGAGGCCCCCAGCCAACAGCCAGCAUGAACUUGCUGGGCAUGUGAGUGCACCACCUUGAAAGUAGAGCCUCAACCCCUGGUCAAGCCAUCAGGGAGAGCUCAAGCUGGCCUGUUGGAAGAUGACAGGUCAUAUGCAACAGACGUGAAGUGUCCCAGCUGAUCCCCUUCCAGAACACCUGCCUUCCAGAUGACCACAGAUGCAAGGGUGAGCCAGCCAAUAGCUGCUGAGACAUUCCCAGAAAGACAGAACAUCCAGCCGACCCAUGGACUCAUGGGCGAUCAUGGAUAAAUGGAUAUUGUUUCAAGCUGCUAGGUUUGGGGUUGGUUUGUUACGCAGCAAUAGCUAACAGCUAUGCCUCUAUUUUAAGGAGUUGUGAAGAUAAAUUGCAAAGGUACAGAAAAAUGAAUAGCUAUAA
rnacentral:lncRNA from 1 species